CCUACGGGAGGCAGCAGUGGGGAAUUUUGGACAAUGGGCGAAAGCCUGAUCCAGCCAUUCCGCGUGAGUGAAGAAGGCCUUCGGGUUGUAAAGCUCUUUUCGCAAGGAAAGAAAACUUAUCUCCUAAUACGGGGUGAGGAUGACGGUACCUUGAUAAGAAGCACCGGCUAACUACGUGCCAGCAGCCGCGGUAAUACGUAGGGUGCGAGCGUUAAUCGGAAUUACUGGGCGUAAAGCGUGCGCAGGCUGUUUUGUAAGUCAGAUGUGAAAUCCCUGGGCUCAACCUAGGAACUGCGUUUGAAACUACAAGGCUAGAGUGUAGCAGAGGGGGGUAGAAUUCCACGUGUAGCAGUGAAAUGCGUAGAGAUGUGGAGGAAUACCAAUGGCGAAGGCAGCCCCCUGGGUUAACACUGACGCUCAUGCACGAAAGCGUGGGGAGCAAACAGGAUUAGAUACCCUGGUAGUCCACGCCCUAAACGAUGUCUACUAGUUGUUGGGAGAGUAAAAUCUCUUAGUAACGCAGCUAACGCGUGAAGUAGACCGCCUGGGGAUACGGUCGCAAGNUUAAAACUUAAGGAAUUGACGGCUGAGACGNGCGAGACGACGACGAGGAGAGG
rnacentral:rRNA from 1 species